AUGGGCUGGAAUUUGACAAUUCUCUUUUUGGUGACAGCAUCUACAGCCACGGGUGUCCACUCUCAGGUCCAGCUGCAGCAGUCUGGGGCUCAGCUGGUGAAGCCAGGGUUCACAGUGAAGGUGUCCUGCAAGGCUUCUGGAUACAGCUUCACUGGUUACUAUAUGAGCUGGGUGAAACAAAAGCCUGGACAGGGCCUGGAGUGUAUUGGAAGGAUUGAUCAUGGAAACGGUGGUACUGGCUACAUCAGAAGUUCCAGGGCAAGGCCAAACUGACUGUAGACACAUCCUCCAGCACAGCCUACAUGGAGCUCUUCAGCCUGACAUCUCAGGACUCUGCUGUCUAUUACUGUGUGAGAGACACAGUGUUGCAAACACAUCCUGAGUUUGUCAGAAAACCUGGGGAGCAGGAAGCUGCCCCUGGACUGAGAUGA